rnacentral:rRNA from 1 species
UACGGAGGUGCGAGCGUUGUCCGGAAUCACUGGGCGUAAAGGGCGCGUAGGCGGCCUGAUAAGUAGGGGUGAAAUCCUGCGGCUUAACCGCAGGGCUGCCUUCUAAACUGUCAGGCUUGAGCACAGUAGAGGCAGGUGGAAUUCCCGGUGUAGCGGUGGAAUGCGUAGAGAUCGGGAAGAACAUCAGUGGCGAAGGCGGCCUGCUGGGCUGUUGCUGACGCUGAGGCGCGACAGCGUGGGGAGCAAACAGG